rnacentral:lncRNA from 1 species
UAGUUUUAUAAUGGUCUACGAGCCAAUACUUUCAAAGUGGCCCUUGCCUAGAGAAAAAGGAGAUAGAUCUUAUGAAUACUCCAACAUACCAGAUGCAUAUCCAGCUUGCAAUGGAGACUUGGACAAUGCUACGUCCCUCAGUUCUUGACAUUUGCUUGGGUUAUGCUUUGCUGACACAAUGCAAUGAUAUACAGAUUGCGUGGAACUGGGGAAUAUGAUAAGUUUUUUGGUGAAGGGGUGUAUAACUGUGCUGGAUGUGGAACGCCACUUUAUAAAUCUACAACAAAGUUCGACUCCGGCUGUGGUUGGCCUGCUAUCUAAGAAGACUGGUGGGUCCCGAGUGCUUUAAAAGUAGAAAGUCUUUUUAAGAAAAUGUCAGGGUGUUAGAUUGAUGAUGUCUUUCUUGCUCCCUCCUGUUUUUGUAAUUAACCGAGACAGAAGGCCUUGAAAUGAUCGCAUCAGUUCUUGAACCUGCUCUUAGCCUUGGAAUCCCAAUGCUCCUCCUGUCCAAGCCCCCGCAUUGCUAUCUGGUUGGCUUCUCUUCUUAUCAUUUAACUUAUUAUCUCCGGAUCCUUCUUUCGACCCUCCUCCUCCUUCCCUCUAAAUUUGAAUGCUACUACUGCUGCUUAACAACAAUAAUUUGUGUAAGCCGUAGCCAAUUAUUAAUAACGUUAUGUCAAGGAAAUAACCCCAAGGGAAGACUGAAGAGGGGAGCUAUCGUACCGAGUGCUACUGCCACCGCCAAUCUCUCUACCUCUCUGUACAUUCACACAUGGCAAAAGCCUUUUCCUUGGUCAACGACAGUGGCCGUCGGGGGAAUUCAAGCCUCAACAAUUGCAGCGACGACAGACCAUUGCCUAUCUCCUCAAACAAGGACUUCAACGUGCCGCUGCAUUCUUCUCUCAAUCUCCACAGCGGAAAGAUGGCGAGAAAGAGGGCAGCUUCUGAUAUAGAAAUCCAGCCGGUCCAACGCUUUCUCCGUCGAACUGCCUCCCCAACGACUACCGCGGACAUAAUACCUUUGGAUGAAUUUGGGGUGUGCUCUAUCAAUAUUGUAGACACUAAUACAGGUGUUAUCAACAAUCCUAACCAGCACCAGCUCCCUGACGACGUUCCCACCUACUCCACUACUAUAGUGCUACCUUCUUGCACGGAUUUGAGUGUGACGUCGUCGUCGGCAGGUGGGACUGGGUCCGAGUCUGCCUUUUCCACUUCAAGCUCAAGUAACAUGAUGGAUUCCUUAUCGCCUGCUCCUCUUCCUCACAAUAAAAAUUACCAAUAAAAAUCAAGGACAGUUUGCCAAACACAGAAAUCAUAUAGCACACCUGUCGGCUGAAUGUUGGCAAAAGUCGGGCAACAUUUGAAAUCAAUAAAAAUAGAGAAAAAAAAAGUAAACAUAAGUUAAUCGAUAAAUUACCAUCAUAAUCAUUCUUUUAUGCAUAAUAUCAAACACAUGACAGUGUCUAAUUAACGGAAGCCAAUAAUAAAUAGGAGGGAAGAACAUUCAAACUAAAAAAAAUUGCAACUAAAAAAUAGGAAGAGAGAAAAUGGAAACAUACCUAGAUUUUGUUUGCUCCUCUUCUGAAUACCGGCAAAAGUGGGAAACAAAGGUAUAUAUAAGGCUGGAAAUAGUAAGUUCUGAAAGCUGUACCAUGGAUGAUAACUCGGUACAGCAGCCAUACCUAAAAUUAGCUGUUUUUUGGGGGAAAAGAAGAAUUCUCGUGGAUGAGGAGGAUUUUUUGGGAGCGAAUCGAAAGGAAGUACAAUUAGUUGCCGGAGCAAUUGGCAGAAAACUGAAGAUUUUGCAGGCUCGCAGAUUUUGGGGAAAAGAAAUUUCAGUGACCUAAUUUUUGGGGUAAAACAAAAAUUCACGUGCGUGUGGAGGAAUUUGUGGGUUGCAAUCAAAAAAAAGGACAAUUAGUUGUUGAACAAUUGGUUGAAAAUUGAAGAUUUUGCAGGCUCAUAUAGCUGCCUACUAAUCGACGGAAAGGAAGAGGCUACGCGACGCAAAGAAAGAGUAAGGAAACUCUGCUUCAAUGAAGAAGAACUUCACUGGCUAAUAAGACCAAUUAAGGUGGUGUUGACUAACCUACAUUAUCAGCAUCAGUCAU